rnacentral:rRNA from 1 species
GAUGAACGCUGGCGGCGUGCCUAAUACAUGCAAGUCGAGCGAACAGACGAGGAGCUUGCUCCUCUGACGUUAGCGGCGGACGGGUGAGUAACACGUGGAUAACCUACCUAUAAGACUGGGAUAACUUCGGGAAACCGGAGCUAAUACCGGAUAAUAUAUUGAACCGCAUGGUUCAAUAGUGAAAGACGGUUUUGCUGUCACUUAUAGAUGGAUCCGCGCCGCAUUAGCUAGUUGGUAAGGUAACGGCUUACCAAGGCAACGAUGCGUAGCCGACCUGAGAGGGUGAUCGGCCACACUGGAACUGAGACACGGUCCAGACUCCUGCGGGAGGCAGCAGUAGGGAAUCUUCCGCAAUGGGCGAAAGCCUGACGGAGCAACGCCGCGUGAGUGAUGAAGGUCUUCGGAUCGUAAAACUCUGUUAUUAGGGAAGAACAAAUGUUUAAGUAACUAUGCACGUCUUGACGGUACCUAAUCAGAAAGCCACGGCUAACUACGUG